rnacentral:pre_miRNA from 1 species
GUCGUUUGGAUGAUGAUUUUUUGCAUGAGAAAUUCCCUCCUUGUUACCUUGAAAGGAAAUUCCAGCUGCCGUCAAGUCGAGCCCCUCCCACAGAUUGUCUAAAAUGAUGAGGGUUUUCUUCCUUCGGUCGUUUACUAGCCUCUUACGCAAACGAUCUGCUCUUCCAAGUGCAGUUUCCUCAUUAAUCAUCACGCCUAACGUGUGGACAGUUUCUGCUCAAUGCCAUGUUAGGCUUUUGCAGCUUAACGAGGGAUCCGUACUUGGAAGAGCAGAUCUUUUGCAUAAGAGGCUAUUAAGUUACCUGAAGAAGAAAAUGUUCCCAUUUUAUACGAUCUGUGGAAGAGACUCGACUUGAAGACGGUUGUAAUUCCCUUUGAAGGUGACGAGGAGGGGAUAUCUUAUGUAAAUAUUCCUGAUCCAGACGAC